CGUCUUACUAUGGUUCCAGGGAGGUUCUGAGAACAUCUAACUAUGGUUCCAGGGAGAUUCUGAGGUUCUGAGAACGUCUUACUAUGGUUCCAGGAAGGUUCUGAGAACAUCUUUCUAUGGUUCCACGGAGGUUCUGAGAACGUCUAACUAUGGUUCCAGGGAGGUUCUGAGGUUCUGAGAGCAUCUUACUAUGGUUCCAGGGAGGUUCUGAGGUUCUGAGAACGUCUAACUAUGGUUCCAGGGAGGUUCUGAGAACAUCUAACUAUGGUUCCAGGGAGGUUCUGAGAACGUCUUACUAUGGUUCCAGGGAUGUUUCUGAGGUUCUGAGAACGUCUUACUAUGGUUCCCUGAACAUUUUCCUGGGAGGUUUUAUUAACACUCAGAGAACAUAACUUAUAGGUUAUUUUGAUUUUUUUUUUUUUACUUCCUGAAAACGUUCAAUGAAUAUUUAAAUAAUAGUUUUAAAACAGUGUUAACACAUUCUGUGUUAACUUUUUGAAAGUCCAAGCACAAAUAUGACCAGGGGAGCAACUUUUUGUGCUAGAUGGUCUGAAUUUCAGGCUCACUACAGUAUAACACAUGUAUCAUCUCAUCUUUAUGGGAUGUUAACACAAAACAGGUACACUACAGUAGAACACAUGUAUCACAAUAACCAGGUGAUCUCUGUAUUAAUGUCUCUGUGAUGUCCAUCUCUGUGUUAAUGUUUAAUGUCUCUGUGAUGUUCAUCUCUGUAUUACUAGUUGACAGAGUAAUAUAACUGAGGUCAUAUAUAAUGUUGUCUCUGGCUGGAGAGUCCUAAUACUUUAAAUAUCAAAUCAAUAAAUCAGUGAAUAUCUGAUGUAAUCUAAUCAGUCUGUGUAAUAUUAUCCUAGCUGGUUUCCCACUGGUGACGAGGAAGAAGAGGAGGACCAACCCAACCUGUGGUCUGUGGACUCUGGUCCUGACGUUAGGGUGAAGCUGUAGCAGUGCAGCUGUAGAAUACAGGGAGCUGAGUGUGUAAGGCUGUGUGUUGUUGGUUUUCACACUGGGCAGGACUGUUCCUCUUGUCAGACAUAUUCUACUUUUAUGUUGGAAACUUCUCCAAAAUAACUACUUUCAGACUGUAUUAACACAAUAACAUAAUGAAUGCACACAUUUAAUAAUUGUCAACAAAGGGGCUACAAUAAAAUAAAAAACAUUUAGGUAAUAAAAUCAUAGAAUGAAACUGUG